rnacentral:misc_RNA from 1 species
AACUUUUGGCAAUGGAUCACUUGGCUCUCGCAUCGAUGAAGAACGCAGCUAAAUGCGAUAUGUAAUGUGAAUUGCAGAAUUCAGUGAAUCAUCGAAUCUUUGAACGCACCUUGCGCUCCUUGGUAUUCCGAGGUGCAUGCCUGUUUGAGUGUCAUUAAUAUAUAUAUCAAACUGCUCUUUUUUGAGUCGUUUGGAUGUGGGGGUUUGCUGGCCUCUUAAAGAGGUUCAGCUCUCCUGAAAUGCAUUAGCAGAACAACCCUGUUCAUAGGUGUGAUAACCACCUACGGUAUGGAAUGUGAAGGUCAGUUCAGCAUUCUCACAGUCCUCGUAAAAAAUUGUCAUUAAUUUCACUACAAAUCACUGCGGAAGUCCAGCUGACCAUAAGCAUAACAAUGAACCCAGGCG